CCUCUCCGAAGCGCUCCGUGCCCGUAGCCUGCAGCGAGACAGAGAGCAGAGAGGCGGGCAGCCCGUCAGCGGCAGGGGCCGGAGCGGAGCGGAGCGGAGCGGGGCGGCGGGCCGGGGCCG
rnacentral:miRNA from 12 species